CUCCCACCUUCCUGUUCUUGAAAGCACAGGACAUCUGUGGGAGAAAUAUCUCUGGAAGCCUUGAUGGAGAGUACCAACCAGUCUUCAUGUGAAGACACUCUGCGUUCCUCAGCACUUACCCGUGAUCUGCAUCCUUGACUAAUCAUCUCCUUGCGGAGAUGCCAGUGGAAGUGAUUGAGACAAAGGGGCGUAGCAUCAUCUUGAUGCUGAAGAGCUUUCAGAGGAGUAUCUCCAGGAAGUGGCAGGUGGCACCACUCAGGAGAUGACUUUGAUGGCCCCACGUCCUCUCUGUUUCAUUACCCAGGCAGGAGGAGGGACAGGAUAUAUUAUGGAGCUAAAUUCUCACGGGCAAAUAAUAAGUCCUAGCACCUGCUGGCUGGAACCCAC
rnacentral:lncRNA from 1 species